CAUGGGUGCUCCUGUUCCGAAUGGGCUAUAAGCAGCCAGUCGUCGGGAUAGUUGAGAAUGUGGAUUCCCGUCUGCCUCAGAGGGGAAAGAGUCAUGUCUACACACUUCUUGAAGCUCUCGCAAAACAAGCACAUAUGCUAAUCUGACACAGCCGACUGCUGAGAGACCGCGACAGGAUCUUGCAGCUGUUGGGGAGAGAAAGCUUCUGUCUCAAUGGAAUCCUAUAUGAAGAGUCUGACUCACUACUGCCUCCAAAAUUUCCCAGAGUUCCCUGAGAUUUCGAACCUGAGUGUUUGUUUGCUACAUCUCAGCAUGUCUGUCUAUGGGAUCCUUCGAAGACGACCAGCAUCUCAGACAACACUCCUCGUCCCUCUCAUCUUCCUCUUUUCAGCGAGGGGGUUUGAAUUUGCUGAGCUUUCAAUAAUACGGAUUUGUCAGACUCCUUGAAGACAGCAUUUCAAAGGCAGCGGCCACACACACAUUCGCAAGGAUCUAUCAGACAUUCCCUGUGUGUAACAGGUCUUCUCUGAAAUCAUCAGGCCUGUAUUUAAGAGGGAUUAAAUCAGUCAGUCAGAUCCAAAUGGCUCCUCUCUGUGUGGAAUGCAGACAAAUGAGCACCUCAAAUAUUUGUAGAAAGAACUUAGCUUACAACCACAGGGACAACUAGUGCUCAAACUGCUGAGCAAGAUGCCAGCCAGAGACAGUAAAAGGGCGAUACGGUUUUGGAGGGACAGAGAAAUUGGCCGAGGGACAGCACUGUGCGACAUGCUGUGGUUAUUUGGCCUCUAAUGAGGAGUGAUGGUUGACAUAUCGCAUUCUGCUUCCCUCAAGUGUGCACUUUAAAAACAUAACUCUCAAGGCUGGCGACUCAGACUGGCAAGUUGCAGAUGACCUGUGUGAUGCACAAAGUGUAACAUCUAAUCUUUUAUAUCUGUCAGUUGAAUUUCUAGGUAGCGUCAUCAAUCUUUGUGCUAGCUUUGGGACCAUCGUUAUUAUGGGAUAACGAUAGGUUUAUAAGAGAUCACUAGGCCCAGACAGAAACAGAAUCUGAGUUUUAGACAUUUGGCUCAGUGACAAAUAAGGAUCAAAGACAAUGAAAAGGAGAAAUCCUUUAAAAAUCUCAAGCUAUACGUUUUUAAAUGUAAUUUUUUAAUACAUUACUGACCUCGACAGUUAUGUCUAAAAGGGUUUCUGUUUUUCUGUGUAGUUUUUAUUCUGUAAAAGUGGCUUAGUGCAUG